rfam:Gorilla gorilla gorilla genomic chromosome, chr8, whole genome shotgun sequence
GCUGGGCGUGGUGGUGGACGCCUGUAAUCCCAGCUACUUGGGAGGCUGAGACAGGAGAAUCACUUGAACCCGGGAGUCAGAGGUCGCAGUGAGCCCAGAUUUCACCACUGCGCUCUAGCCUGGGUGACAGAGUAAGACUCUGUCUCAA